UACGUAGGGUGCAAGCGUUUGUCCGGAAUUAUUGGGCGUAAAGGGCUCGUAGGCGGUUUGUCGCGUCGGGAGUGAAAUCCACUGGCUUAACUGGUGGCUUGCUUUCGAUACGGGCAGACUGGAGGUAUGCAGGGGGAGAACGGAAUUCCUGGUGUAGCGGUGAAAUGCGCAGAUAUCAGGAGGAACACCGGUGGCGAAGGCGGUUCUCUGGGCAUGUCCUGACGCUGAGGAGCGAAAGGUGUGGGGAGCGAACAGG
rnacentral:rRNA from 1 species